UGGCUUUGGUCAGGAGAGCGCUGCGAUGUCAUGCGGCCGCCGAAGGCGUAAGCCCUUACCGGGUGUACCGCUCAGGCAAAAGGACUGACCACACCGC
rfam:Thiomonas intermedia K12, complete genome.